AGGGGAGUGAAAGAGAACCUGAAACCUUGUGCUUACAAACAGUCAAAGGCCUACGGGCUGAUGGCGUACUUUUUGUAGAACGGUCCGGCGAGUUACUAAUGCCAGCGAGGUUAAGAUGUCAGAAGCAUCGGAGCCGAAGGGAAACCAAGUCUGAAUAGGGCGUAGAGUUGGUAUUAGUAGACCCGAAACCGGGUGACCUAUCCAUGUCCAGGUUGAAGGAACCGUAAAAGGUUUUGGAGGACCGAACACACAUGUGUUGAAAAACGUGGUGAUGAGGUGUGGAUAGGGGAGAAAUUCCAAUCGAACCCGGAGAUAGCUGGUUCUCCUCGAAAUAGCUUUAGGGCUAGCCUCGAGCUGGAGUCUAACGGAGGUAAAGCACUGAACUGACGCGGGGCCCAAAAAGGUUACCAACUCAUAUCAAACUAAGAAUGCCGUCAAGAUACCCUCGGGAGUCAGUCUGCGUGAGAUAAGUCGCGUGGACAAAAGGGAAAGAGCCCAGACCGACAGCUAAGGUCCCAAAGUACGUGUUAAGUGGAAAAGGAUGUGGGAUUUCAUAGACAACUAGGAUGUUGGCUUAGAAGCAGCCAUACAUUUAAAGAGUGCGUAAUAGCUCACUAGUCGAGAAAACCUGCGCCGAAAAUGUAACGGGGCUAAAACACGACACCGAAGCUACGGAUUCCUUACUAAGUAAGGAGUGGUAGAGGAGCAUCCUGCAAGGACGAAGCCAAAGUGAGAGCGAUGGUGGACGAAACAGGAGAGAGAAUGCCGGAAUGAGUAGCGAGAUACAUGUGAGAAACAUGUAGGCCGAAUAUCUAAGGAUUCCUGGGUAAAGCUAAUCUUCCCAGGGUUAGUCGGGGCCUAAGGCGAGGACGAAAGUCGUAGUCGAUGGAUAACAGGUUGAUAUUCCUGUACUACACAUAAUCAGAACUGUGGGGACGCAGGAGGAUAGGGAAACCGGGGAAUGGAAAGACCCGGUCAAGCGUAAAGCUGUGGGAGAUAGGCAAAUCCGUCUCUUGUAAGUGAAACGUGAUGAGGACUGAAAAAAAGUAAGGAAGUUUCCGAAUCCACACUGCCGAGAAAAGCCGCUAUUGCGUUAUGUGUACCCGUACCGUAAACCGACACAGGUAGAUGAGGAGAAAAUCCACAGGCCGACGGGAGAAGUGUUGUUAAGGAACUCGGCAAAAUGACCCCGUAACUUCGGGAUAAGGGGAGCCUCGCAAGAGGCCGCAGAAAAGAGGCACAAGCAACUGUUUAGCAAAAACAUAGGUCUAUGCGAAACCGUAAGGUGAAGUAUAUGGGCUGACGCCUGCCCGGUGCUGGAAGGUUAAAAGGAGAGGUCAGCGCAAGCGAAGCUUUGAAUUCAAGCCCCAGUAAACGGCGGCCGUAACUAUAACGGUCCUAAGGUAGCGAAAUUCCUUGUCAGGUAAGUUCUGACCCGCACGAAAGGCGUAAUGAUUUGUGCACUGUCUCGACAACACGCCCGGUGAAAUUGAAGAACCAGUGAAGAUACUGGUUACCCGCAACAGGACGGAAAGACCCCAUGGAGCUUUACUGCAGCCUGAUACUGGGAUUCGAUGAUAUAUGUACAGGAUAGGUGGGAGGCUAAGAAGCGAGAACGCUAGUUUUCGUGGAGCCGCCGGUGGGAUACCACUCUUAUGUCAUUGAAUUUCUAACCUGCAUCCGUAAUCCGGGUGAGGGACAAUGUCAGGCGGGCAGUUUGACUGGGGCGGUCGCCUCCUAAAAGGUAACGGAGGCGCUCGAAGGUCACCUCAGAAUGAUUGGAAACCAUUCAAAGAGUGUAAAGGCAAAAGGUGGCUUGACUGCGAGAGCGACGGGUGGAGCAGGUACGAAAGUAGGACUUAGUGAUCCGGUGGUAAUAAGUGGGAAUGCCAUCGCUCAACGGAUAAAAGCUACCCU
rnacentral:rRNA from 1 species